CCUACGGGAGGCAGCAGUGAGGAAUAUUGGUCAAUGGGCGCGAGCCUGAACCAGCCAAGUAGCGUGAAGGAUGACUGCCCUACGGGUUGUAAACUCCUUUUAUAAAGGAAUAAAGUGAGGCACGUGUGCCUUUUUGUAUGUACUUUAUGAAUAAGGAUCGGCUAACUCCGUGCCAGCAGCCGCGGUAAUACGGAGGAUCCGAGCGUUAUCCGGAUUUAUUGGGUUUAAAGGGUGCGUAGGCGGGAUGCCAAGUCAGCGGUAAAAAUGCGGUGCUCAACGCCGUCGAGCCGUUGAACCUGGCGUUU
rnacentral:rRNA from 1 species